rnacentral:tRNA from 1 species
GCCUGGGUGGCUCAGUCGGUUAAGCGUCUGACUUCAGCUCAGGUCAUGAUCUCACGGUUCGUGAGUUCAAGCCCCGCGUCGGGCU